AUGCUGCACCCGGUCAGGGACGACCAGCUGCAGGUGUUCUCGGCGAGGUUCAACGAGGUCUUCCGCAAAUGCCAGUGCCCGGGCAAUAUCUGCUUCCUACAUGGCAUCUCAACGCAUAAUGGGAGGCUUUGUGUAGCGAUGAGGUUUUCCGAAGGAUCCAUUGGGGAUAGGAUGGCUCGACUUAAAGGUGGAAGGCUCCCUUUGUCAGAUGUUUUAAGAUAUGGCGCCGAUUUGCCGCUUGGUGUGCUAGAACUACACUACAUGGGAAUAUUUGUUCAGAAUCUCCAGUCUUGUAAUUUUCUCCUUGAUGACAAUGACCAGGAAGCAUGGUUUUGUUUUAUCCCAUAUAUCAGUACAUAA
rnacentral:rRNA from 1 species